UGUCUGGGUUGGUCGGAUCCCUGCUUGUGCAGCGACGAUCGCUCUUCCAUUCCUUUUCAUUCUUGCUCCAAGAGCGACAUGCCUUGGACUAACUCGGUUGCCUGUGCUGUAUACCUACGUCGUUGGAAUGCGCUUGUCUAAUCGUCCCUAAUUCACCUUGUGCUGCUCAUACUUGCGACGGGGUGAACCAUGUAGUGUCCUUGGUUUUCCGUUCUUGCCUUGCGUUGCGCGUCGCAUGAAUGGGCAAACUUUGUGAUGCUCGAAUUCUCGGAUACGGAACCUUACGCGGGCAAAGGGUCUUUGGCCUUGAUUUGCCCAAGCUAAGCGUUCUCGCUUCUUACGAACGACUGUCGCGCCCGUAUAUGACCUGAGGAUACUUUCGUCC
rnacentral:misc_RNA from 1 species